AGAAGAGGAAACUGAGGCUUUAGAGAACUGUAGCACAUUGGCAAGGACAUCCAGCUCAUAAACAAUCCAUCAGAAAAGUGAGGUCACUGAGCAACCCACCACCCAAAACCUGGACAGACAGAGAAAUACAGAAGCAUGGCUUACAGAGAGCAGAAGCAGCUGCUGGAGCCACCAUCUGGUAGAAACACUUCAGGGAUGAGAAAACAGUGACCUGGAGACAGUUAUUUCACCAACAAAGGCAGCCAGCACUUCUCAGUUCCAUCAUACAGAGAACAUUUUGCUGAGAUGACACCAACUUCCAGUUCUUCACAAAGAUGCAGCCCUCAGCCUUCAGCAUGAGAACAGGGACAUCAGCCUGCUUUGCCCAUGGAACUGUCUCCAGAGCCUACAACAAUGCUCAGCCUAUGAGAGUUGUCACAUCUGGGAGGAUCAUGGGAGAGCUGCUUCUGAUAUCUGGAGAGCAGAGGCUAGGAGUGCUGCUCAACAUUCCA
rnacentral:lncRNA from 10 species